rnacentral:lncRNA from 1 species
GAACUCCGGCGAGCAAUUAAUCUCUAACCGGUGCGAAAUUGAACUGUGGGAUUUGGGGGAAGUGGUAGAGGAGUCCGGGGUCUUCGAUAUGACGUGCGGGGUUUCUGAUUUGAUGGUUCGUGCGCGAAGAAAUCGGAAUGGAAUCGUGAGCGACUCGGAGUCGUGCGUGGCCGGGCUUCUCGGGCAGGCGGUUUGGGGAAGAAGGGUGGUGGGGCCCACCGGUCAGUGGGAGCGGGCGGCUGGGCUGGGCGGAGCCGGUCGGUCCGGUUCGGCCAGUUUUCCUCGGUUUUUCUUUUUCUUUUAUCUAUUUUCUGUUUUUGAACCUCAAAAUUGAUUCGAAGCUCCAAAUCACUCCA